rnacentral:rRNA from 1 species
AUGAGGAUCAUGGCGGCGUCAGCGCUGCUGCUGCUCUUGCUGGUGUCGGCGGCGGCGGCCACCAGCAACACAUCGGACAGCUGGGAGAGGAAGAGGAGCGAGGAGGAGACCCGGCAGAUCUUCACGGAAUGGAAGGCCAAGCACGGCAUGACCAACAGCUCCCUCGCCGAGGAGGAGCAGCGCGCGUACACCAGGUUCAAGCGCAGCCUCGGCCUCAUCGACCGGCGGUGGCAUGACGAAGGCUACUCCAUCUUCUCCUGGGAGAGGGGGAGGAGCGAGGAGGAAACGCGGAAGAUCUUCGCGGAGUGGAAGGUACGAGAAGGCAUUACCUACAGCUCCAUCGCCCGCGAGGAGCACCGCUACACCAUAUUUAAGGAGGCCCUCCGCGACAUCGACUGGCACAACGCUGGCUACGCCAUUCAGGUCUACAAUAACAACCGAUGCAUCGACCAGUUCAGCCAUCUCAUCCAAGAGGAGUACGAAGCCGUUUGCUGUGGGUAUUGGCCAGAGGAGCCGUCGUUGGCCGAAUUACAGAGAAUGGGCGAGAUCCGGGAGCGGUUGUGGCUAGCAUUUACUUAUCGGCUAACUUAA